rnacentral:rRNA from 1 species
GACGAACGCUGGCGGCGUGCUUAACACAUGCCAGUCGAACGGAAAGGCCCUGCUUUUGUGGGGUGCUCGAGUGGCGAACGGGUGAGUAACACGUGAGUAACCUGCCCUUGACUUUGGGAUAACUUCAGGAAACUGGGGCUAAUACCUGAUAGGAGCUCCUGCUGCAUGGUGGGGGUUGGAAAGUUUCGGCGGUUGGGGAUGGACUGGCGGCUUAUCAGCUUGUUGGUGGGGUAGUGGCUUACCAAGGCUUUGACGGGUAGCCGGCCUGAGAGGGUGACCGGCCACAAUGGGACUGAGAUACGGACCAGACUCCUACGGGAGGCAGCAGUGGGGAAUAUUGCACAAUGGGCGGAAGCCUGAUGCAGCAACGCCGCGUGCGGGAUGACGGCCUUCGGGUUGUAAACCGCUUUCGCCUGUGACGAAGCGUGAGUGACGGUAAUGGGUAAAGAAGCACCGGCUAACUACGUG